GACGAACGCUGGCGGCGUGCUUAACACAUGCAAGUCGAACGGAAAGGCCCCUUUGGGGGUACUCGAGUGGCGAACGGGUGAGUAACACGUGAGUAACCUGCCCUUGACUUCGGGAUAACUUCAGGAAACUGGGGCUAAUACCGGAUAGGAAUCCUUGCUGCAUGGUGGGGGUUGGAAAGCUUCGGCGGUUUUGGAUGGACUCGCGGCUUAUCAGCUUGUUGGUGGGGUAGUGGCUUACCAAGGCUUUGACGGGUAGCCGGCCUGAGAGGGCGACCGGCCACAUUUGGACUGAGAUACGGCCCAGACUCCUACGGGAGGCAGCAGUGGGGAAUAUUGCACAAUGGGCGGAAGCCUGAUGCAGCAACGCCGCGUGCGGGAUGACGGCCUUCGGGUUGUAAACCGCUUUCAGCAGGGGCGAAGCUUGUGGUGACGGUACCUGCAGAAGAAGCACCGGCUAACUACGUG
rnacentral:rRNA from 1 species